UUUUUCUUUUCUGUUUUAUUUCAUUUUAAUGUAUUUAGGCAUUUUCUAAAAAGGUGUUUUCUGCACUAUAAUUACCUAGGCAUUUAACUGCACACUCCGAACAUUUUUGUUUUAAUGUUUGAAAAUUUUUAUCGUUUGACUUAAUUUCAAAUUUGAAUUUGAAUCGGUUUCGAACUAACGCGAGAUUAUCAACAGUAAUCGAGGUGACAUGACAUGAUUACCAGAGGGUUACUGUAGCUUAACUAUCCAGGCGUCACAAUUCUCCUCCACUACAAGAAAUCUCGUCCCGAGAUUUAAGAGGUAGAGUAAGGGGAAAGAUGUGGUUACGAAAUUCUAUCGAGUCUUCUCGGUCUUGGUUGCUUUUCGCAAAGAGGUCGAUCCAUUAUGUUGAAGUCUUUAUUUCUCUGCUCCAGGUCAUCAUGAUCAAUUCGCCAUCCUUUCUUAAGGAUCUCCAUCGUCCUACGAACGCGACCAAGGGGAAAAACUCCGGAAGAACGCAUCUCCACAAAGCUGGGCAUCUAACGGUGAACUCAAUGGGAAAUACACAAGGUACCCCACGAGUUGUAUUUCAGUGAAUUCGUUGAGUGCAAUAUACGAUGGUACCAAAGUUUCAAACGGGUAGGCAAUCAUUCGAUGACUAGACAGAAGCUGCAAUGGGGGCUUGAACAACGAGAAUAACAUGGUGUUUGAUUCCAGGAUGAAUAAUUGUAUAGCAUUCAGCUCGUGAAUCACAUACGAAGCCAGGUGCAAAGGAUACAUUAGAAUCCGGGUUAUGAAGAAGAGUCAGGUUUCGAUCCAGUGGACCUGUGGGUUAUGGGCCCACCAUGUGGAUUAAAAGUAGGAGGAACAGUGACAACUUGCACGGUCAUGAUAGCAAGGCAUGUCAGAGGGUAGCCUGUCAGUUAUAUGUCAGCAACAACAUCGUACCAAGGGCGAGGGACGAAGAGAACCAUUUUCCUGCUCGUUGAAACGAGGCGGACCAACAGGCAAAGUUCUCGUCGAUCGGUGGUUACCGGAAUGUCAUCAACAAUAGUAAUAGGGUCUUACCGACAAAGUUGUACACCGAUGUGUUUGCACAAGCAGGGAAUUAUUUCUGCUUAUAUCAUAUAGACCAUAGAAAGGGUUUAAACAAACCAAUGGAAGGGGAAAGUGUCUAUCAGAUUUAAUAAGAACAAUGGAAAGAAAAAUGUGUUUAAACACAUAAUCCAGGGGUAUAUCCUUCCCAAGGACAAGUAGAGCAUGACAUCCAUGACAGGAUAUAAUGUGGAAAACGCCUUAGGAAAGGGGAGAGAAAUUUCAUGACAUUACCCACACAACGAUGUUUGGAUAAUUUGAUUAAGAAAAUUUAGCAUUGUGCUUCGAGUGUUCUUAUUGAUGAUAGGAGUACCACAUACAUGCUUCGAGAUAGCAUUGACAUGGUCUUCAAGCAAAGGACGGAUACAUGAAGGAUCCAUCAGGAUACCUUAUUAAACAAUGCAUUCAAUUUCCUCAUGGAAAAGUGGUUAACCUUGUUAAAAAGGAAACUAUAACACUAGGUCCUCUGGUCAGGUGUGCUAGGCAUGACAUCACCUUACCGGGUCAUAUAAAGCCCAAUGCUAUAACUCUUGGAAAAUGCGUCCCAACCAUCAUAUCUGACCGAGAUUCAGAUCUGAUCGGUGUUAGGAUACCUCAAACUCAGGAUGCCUGAGAAGAAAAGGUGCAAAACAAAUUGACGAGACGAUAUUGUAAGAUUCUCGGGAAAUUGACUACGGAAGCGAGUUCCGAAACAAAAGCUCGUCAUUAAACCAAUGAAGGGUUAAGGAGGUAGCUAAUGAACUCAGCGAAAAUUCAUCGAGACUUCCAAAAGAUGGGUUUCCACAAUUAUGUGAACAAGGAGAUAACAUUAGUUAGAUCAAAUGAUAUAAUGAUGUAUGCUCGAGGAAAACAUACAUAGUUAAACAUUGGUUGAAAGGUGCACCCACAAUAUGGGCUGGGUUGCACGAUCAAUGUUAGAAUGGUGACUUAAUGAACAAAAGAAUUAGAAUGAAACUAUCGACCAUUCACUUCAAAGCAAUAGGGUUGCUAGAAGUUUCGAAUUCACAUAUCAAAGUUCAAUUGCCGGUAUUCCGGUUAGAAACAACACGAGGACCAAGAAAACGAAUGGAGAUGGCAAGAGGUAUCACUUGUAUCGCGAAUUAUUAAAGAGGUGGCGAAAUUCCCACAACAUUCUUGACAUAAAAGAUGGUAAUACUUCAAGGUAACGGAGACCAAAAGCUGGAUAGCAAGAAUCUCAAUGUAUACACAAAAAAUGAACAAGUUUGUGUUGAACGGAAGGCAAUAAAGUGGUCGAUGAUAACACAAAUCAUCGAGGGCAAAGAUGGUAUUUCUCAUCAUGAAUUCAAUUGAUAUCUUGGAAGAGAUCAAAAUGUUGAUGAUGAUCACGACACAAUUGUCGAGAGAUUUCAUGAAGGUGUAAUCGAUCGGCGAUGACAUCAAGUCAAAGGAAUGAUGAAGCGAAAGGUUAUUGGAGCCACGGGUACAUCACAAGCUCCAAACCAAGUUUGCUGUUCAAGGCGAAAUGACAUGAUGAGGAAAAUUGACGUAAGCUUAGCUCAUCGUCGAAAAUUGUGCUCCGAGAAGAAGGACCAGGUAGCACAGUUAAAAUCAACACAAAUAGAUAUAGCCGAGCAGGCUAGGAAUGACAUGAUCGGGUACAAACUCGUACUUAAAGAAGAUUACUGAAGAGUUGUUGAACCGUAGUGUGGACUUGGUUGAGUUAUCGGUGUCUUUGAGUGUUUAAUAACUCGAAGCCCGUGCAAAAUUGGAAUCAGUGAGAAUGUAGUACUUGAUGAAGAACUCGUAAGAAGUUAUGCAGUUCCAUGAUAAUCUCGAGAUACCAGAGGGUAAUACUCGACGGUAGAUCAAGGUAGAGGUUGGACUGUUGUAUUGACUUGCAAAAGACAAGUGCUUUAACUUGUCCGAGAAAUAGAAUCAAAGGAGAACAAUCAUGGUCGGAACCACGGUUGCCAAGGAUUAUUUCACAGAUACCAGAUGAUAUUUAUCAAGGAAAAAUUUAUUUGAAGAGAAGCUUUAAUGAUACGAUCUACAUCGUUUCCAUGGGCAUGAACACAAAGUUCAAGGUCGACUCCCACUUCUCCAAUGCGAGACCAUUCACUCACUGCUCUAAUAAAAAUGAUUUCAGUGUGAAAACCUACCGGGUGAAUUACUAGAGGAGUAUGACCCGUGAAAAGUUUUCGGGUCACACAGAUUAAGGAAGGCAUAAGGUACCACAAGUUCCAAGAGUAAAUAUCACCAGCUUGAAAGCAGAGCAUGGUUGGCCAAAUCAGAGAAUAGGAUUUACUAAUGGCAUUAUGUAUCAAGGAAGAAUUCACAUGGUGAUUAAAUAUGAAGGACAUUGCCGAAUAAUAAUCCAACCAAGGAUUUGACGAUCGAUAGCGGAGCUGAUGUGAGCAUCGGCACACAACCAGUUGAAGAAAGAAUGCAAGGGCAUCAUAUUAUAGAACAUAUGAAUGAUUCGAUGCUUAGAUAUCAUAGGAAUUAUGAUAUAUCAUAGGAAUUAUGAUUUCCAAAUCGAAGGAUCAGAAGAGGACGCUCUGAUCAAGGGUGGAUAAGUUCAAUAGACCUAAGUGUACAAUUGACGGCAAAUAGAUUGGUUGAGAACAAGCUCAUGUUUAAAAUGAUGUCUGAGUUGGGAAGAUAAUUUAAAAGGAUCAACUGAUGAUUGUGUGCAUUCGCACUCAGGUUGAAUCAAUAGGAUCAAAGUGAUGGUGCCUAAGGAUACUAACAAAUAUUGCCAAACAUAUGGAAAGCAUCCAUAAUGCAAGCAGACAAGUAUUGCAGAGCAAUAAGCUACUAAGGAUUUUUGGAGGAUCGAAUAGUAUUUCGAAGACCAUUGUGAAACACAUGAACAACUGGGGAUGAACGGAUACUCGAUAAGGGCAAGAAAUUAUCCGUAGGGGUAUUCAGGUGGCAAGGAACUGCAAGGCAGUAGGCACAAAAUAUUCUCGGAACAAUAGAAAGGAUUUCAAGCUAUCUUGUAAUAACAUGAUCAACUGGGAAUAAAAGUAAGAACGGCAAGUGUAUGUAUUUAUCCAUAGGGAUAUUUCGGUGGUAGGGAGUUGCAAAAGCAACGGGCACAAAGUCUCAAAAGAGUAUCGGAGAGUAACUUCGAAAUCUUCUGGUGCAGCCGGCGAUCAUCUGGACUGAAGGGGCUCUCCGGGAGAAAGUGUUUCGAGAACCUAAAGUUAGAUUUUAGAAAAUCAUUUAACCCGAAUAGAAAAGAGAUCAGAGUCCUAGAGUAUAGGUCGAGGAAUAAAAGAUCCUAAUACCACCCAAUGGCGACGUGAGCCGUAAGGCACACAGUCAUGUUAGUAAAAGUUUUUCAAUGACUAGACUCGACUUUGGCCAAGGAGUUGGAAAGGGGGAUUCCUACAGGCAGUCGGCUCUGAUACCAACUUGUGACGCCCCCGAUUCAAUCAUACACUAAUCAUGCACGCAAACGUGUACGAUCAAGAUCAGAGACUCACGGGAAGAUAUCACAACACAACUCUAAAACAUAAAUAAGUAAUGCAAGCAUCAUAAUACAAGCCAGGGGCCUCGAGGGCUCGAAUACAAGUGCUCGAUCAUAGACGAGUCAGCGGAAGCAACAAUAUCUGAGUACAGACAUAAGUAAACAAGUUGCCAUAAGAUGGCUAGCACAAACUGGGAUACAGAUCGAAAGAGGCGCAGGCCUCCUGCCUGGGAUCCUCCUAACUACUCCUGGUCGUCGUCAGCGGGCUGCACGUAGUAGUAGGCACCUCCAGAGUAGUAGUCGUCGUCGAUGGUGGCGUCUGGAUCCUAGGCUCCAACUUCUGGUUGCGGCAUCCGAGAAGAAGAGGAAAACGGGGGGAAAGAGGGAGCAAAGCAACCGUGAGUACUCAUCCAAAGUACUCGCAAGCAAGGAGCUACACUACAUAUGCAUGGGUAUAUGUGUAAGGAGGCAAUAUGAGUGGACUGAACUGCAGAAUGCCAGAAUAAGAGGGGGAUAGAUAGUCCUAUCGAAGACUACGCUUCUGGCAGCCUCCGUCUUGCAGCAUGUAGAAGAGAGUAGACUGAAGUCCUCCAAGUAGCAUCGCAUAGCAUAAUCCUACCCGGCGAUCCUCCCCUCGUUGCCCUGUGGAAAAGCGAUCACCAGGUUGUCUGUGGAACUUAUCUGGGUGUGUUUUAUUAAGUGUUCGGUUCUAGUUGUCAUAAGGUCAAGGUACAACUCCGGGUCAUCCUUUUACCGAGGGACACGGCUAUUCGAAUAGAUUAACUUCCCUGCAGGGGUGCACCACAUAACCCAACACGCUCGAUCCCAUUUGGCCGGACACACUUUCCUGGGUCAUGCCCGGCCUUGGAAGAUCAACACGUCGCAGCCCCACCUAGGCACAACAGAGAGGUCAGCACGUCGGUCUAAAUCCUAUACGCGCAGGGGUCUGGGCCCAUCACCCAUUGCAUACCUGCACGUUGCGUACGCGGCCGGUGAGCAGACUUAGCAACCUCCAUUACAAAGGAAGUCGCGUUACGCAGUCCAACCCAGCGCGCGCCGCUCAGUCGCUGACGUCACGAAGGCUUCGGCUGAUACCACGACAUCGAGUGCCCAUAUCUUUCCCGCGUAGUUGGUUAGUGCGUAUAUGUCGGUGGCCAGACUCAGAUCAAAUACCAAGAUCUCGUUAAGCAUGUUAUUAUGAAGCAAUCGCGAACGCCGACCAGGACCAAGCCCACCUGUCUCCCAGGUGGUCUCAACCUGCCCUGUCGCUCCGCCACAAAGAUCCACACAGAGGGCCGUCGGGACAAAGGUCCUUUCAGCCCCCAAUCUGUGAAUCACUCGCGGGUACUCCUCGAGCCGACCCGACUUUAGUCACCAUCUGUAGUAUGUAUAUAUGUAUAGUAUAUACCCGUGAUUACCUCCCGAAUGAUCACGCCCCAAUAGUAUAGCAAGGCAGACUGACAAGAAUGUAGGGCCAAUGAUGAUAAACUAGCAUCCUAUACUAAGCAUUUAGGAUUGCGGGUAAGGUACCAAUGACUGUAGCAACAAUGACAGGUUAUGCAACAGAAUAGGUGUAACCGAAUAGUAACAUGCUACACUACUCUAAUGCAAGCAGUAUAGAGAAGAAUAGGCGAUAUCUGGUGAUCAAGGGGGGGCUUGCCUGGUUGCUCUGGCAAGAAGGACGAGUCGUCAACACCGUAGUCGAACUGGGGGUCGCCAGCAGUCUCGGGGUCUACCGAAAAGAAGUAGUGGAGAGGGAACACAAUAAUAACAGAGCAAUCAAAUCAUCACAAAGCGUAACAAGGCAAUAUGCGGUGUUCGGUGUGCCCUAACGUGGUACUAGGUGAUACCGGCGAAAGGGGGAAACAUCCGGGAAAGUAUCCCCGGUGUUUCGCAUUUUCGGACAGAUGAACCAGAGGUGAAAAGUUGCAGGUUCACUAUGCUAUAGACGCAUGGCAGACGAACGGGCUGCGUAUCUGGAUUCGUCUCGUCGUUCUAAGCAACUUUCAUGUAGAAAUCAUUUUCAUCUGAGCUACGGUUUAUUUUCUAUGUAUUUCUAAGGUUUUAAUCAUUUUCUGAAUUUAUUUAUCUAUUUAACUCUAACAUUAUCCAGAAUAGUGUAUGCUGACCUCAUCAUGACGUCAGCAAUCAACAGUCAGUUGACUUGGUCAAACUGACGCGUGGGUCCAUUCUGUCAUAGACUGAUAUCUAAUUAACAGUUACUUAGUUUAAUUAACUAGUUAACUAUUCAGGAUUUAAUUAACUUAAUUAAUCUAGUUAGUUAAUUAAUUAAUUAAUAUAUUUAUUUAUUUAUUUAUUUUUAAUUCAUUUUUAUAUCUCUUUUUUUUAACAUUCCAGGGGCUGGGCCCCACAUGUCAUAGGCACAGGGGCCUAUCGGGCGCGCUUAGCAGGCGCGGGUGCAGGACGCGGCCUGAGCGGGCACACGCCCAGGUGCGGGCGGGCCCGGUAAGGCGCCGGAGCAGGGGGCGGUGGCCACGGCGAGGCCAUGGCCGGUGGAGAGGCGCCCGUGGCGAGGAGCGCUGGGCAAGGGGCAGAAGUGGCUGGACGCGGGCGUGUGCGCCAGGUAGCAGUAGUGGCGAGCAGAGGGAGUGGCAGGGUGCGGCCAGAUGGGCGGGGUCGAGCGCAUGAGUGCGGUGAGGCUGAGGCUGAUGGCCAGCACGCGGGGCUUGGAGUCUGGGGCGCGGCUGACGCGCGCAGGCACGGCCAGGGGCGGCUGGUGAGCGCGAGGUCGUCCCGAGCUUCGGGCGCGAGCGGGACAACGCCAAUCGACGAUGGGAUCGACGGGGAAGAGGGGAACGGACAUGGCUCACUGAGAGGAGGUCGAUGGAGAGCUCGGGACGGUCGUAGUGGCGUUGAAGAGGUGGGCCGACGCGGUGGUGGUGGUGGCCGAGGCGGACGGGGACGACCGGCGAAGGAGAGGCAGGGACGGGGAGUUCGGCGGGGGGAGAGUUGGGGUAGCGGCAAGCGACGGCUCCGGGACGGCAUGGCGGCGGACGAGGGGGAGGUGGAGGCGUCGAGNNNNNNNNNNNNNNNNNNNNNNNNNNNNNNNNNNNNNNNNNNNNNNNNNNNNNNNNNNNNNNNNNNNNNNNNNNNNNNNNNNNNNNNNNNNNNNNNNNNNNNNNNNNNNNNNNNNNNNNNNNNNNNNNNNNNNNNNNNNNNNNNNNNNNNNNNNNNNNNNNNNNNNNNNNNNNNNNNNNNNNNNNNNNNNNNNNNNNNNNNNNNNNNNNNNNNNNNNNNNNNNNNNNNNNNNNNNNNNNNNNNNNNNNNNNNNNNNNNNNNNNNNNNNNNNNNNNNNNNNNNNNNNNNNNNNNNNNNNNNNNNNNNNNNNNNNNNNNNNNNNNNNNNNNNNNNNNNNNNNNNNNNNNNNNNNNNNNNNNNNNNNNNNNNNNNNNNNNNNNNNNNNNNNNNNNNNNNNGAUCAGGGGAGAGGGAGAGUGGGGGCGCGAGUGGGGGGGGAGUGGGUGCUGUUGGAUUAGGGUUUCGGGGUCCGGGGGGAUAUGGGCGCGGUUGGGCCGGCCAGUUCUGACGGCGGAGGCCAGCUGCGCCACUUGGCCCAGCGGGGGGGAGGGGUUCUUCCUUUUUUUCUAUUUGGUUCUUUUCUUUUUUAUUUAUUUUUUUUCUGUUUUAUUUCAUUUUAAUGUAUUUAGGCAUUUUCUAAAAAGGUGUUUUCUGCACUAUAAUUACCUAGGCAUUUAACUGCACACUCCGAACAUUUUUGUUUUAUGUUUGAAAUUUUUUAUCGUUUGACUUAAUUUCAAAUUUGAAUCGGUUUUGAACUAACGCGAGAUUAUCAACAGUAAUCGAGGUGACAUGACAUGAUUACCAGAGGGUUACUGUAGCUUAACUAUCCGGGCGU
rnacentral:lncRNA from 1 species